rnacentral:RNase_P_RNA from 2 species
AGAGUUGAUCAGGCAGUCGCUCUGUUUUGUAACAGGGAGGAAAGUCCGGGCUUCAUAGGACAAGGUGCCAGAUAACGUCUGGGAGGCGCGAGCCUACGGAAAGUGCCACAGAAAAGAUACCGCCUUUAAGGUGAUGUUUGCCUUAUUGGUAAGGGUGAAAUGGUGCGGUAAGAGCGCACCGCGUCUCUGGUAACAGGGAUGGCAGGGUAAACCCUACCUGAAGCAAGACCAAAUAGGGGAACUUUUUAAGUCAUUAUCUACGGAUAAGGAUUUAAAUAACGUGUGGUCCGCACGGUUCUCGGGUAGGUUGCUAGAGGUGUUUGGCGACAAACAUCCCAGAGGAAUGACUGCUACAGAUUUGUUUUACUUUGGUAAAACAGGUUUGACAGAACCCGGCUUACCGAUCAACUCUCAUC